CCUACGGGAGGCAGCAGUAGGGAAUCUUGCGCAAUGGGCGAAAGCCUGACGCAGCGACGCCGCGUGAGUGAUGAAGGUCUUCGGAUCGUAAACUUCUGUUAUCAGGGAAGAACGGUCAUUGUACUAAUUGACUGUCAAUUGACGGUACCUGCUAAGAAAGCACCGGCUAACUCCGUGCCAGCAGCCGCGGUAAUACGGAGGGGGCAAGCGUUAACCGGAAUUAUUGGGCGUAAAGCGCUCGCAGGCGGUAUGUUAAGUCAGAGGUGAAAUCCCACGGCUUAACGGGGGAAGGGCAUUGGAAACUGGUUGACUGGAGUGUAGGAGAGGGUAGUGGAAUUCCAGGUGUAGGGGUGAAAUCCGUAGAGAUAUGGAGGAACAUCAGUGGCGAAGGCGGCUAUCUGG
rnacentral:rRNA from 1 species